rnacentral:rRNA from 1 species
GUCUACGGCCAUGCUACGCUGAAUAAGCCUGAUCACCUCUGAUCUUGGAAGCUAAGCAGGGUCAGGCCUGGUCAGUCAGUACUUGGAUGGGAGAACACUAGGAAGACCAGGUGUUGUAGGCA